rnacentral:rRNA from 1 species
UGGGGAAUAUUGGACAAUGGGCGAAAGCCUGAUCCAGCCAUGCCGCGUGUGUGAAGAAGGUCUUCGGAUUGUAAAGCACUUUAAGUUGGGAGGAAGGGCAGUUACCUAAUACGUGAUUGUUUUGACGUUACCGACAGAAUAAGCACCGGCAAACUCUGUGCCAGCAGCCGCGGUAAUACAGAGGGUGCAAGCGUUAAUCGGAAUUACUGGGCGUAAAGCGCGCGUAGGUGGUUUGUUAAGUUGGAUGUGAAAUCCCCGGGCUCAACCUGGGAACUGCAUUCAAAACUGACUGACUAGAGUAUGGUAGAGGGUGGUGGAAUUUCCUGUGUAGCGGUGAAAUGCGUAGAUAUAGGAAGGAACACCAGUGGCGAAGGCGACCACCUGGACUAAUACUGACACUGAGGUGCGAAAGCGUGGGGAGCAAACA